UGAAGAGUGUUGAAAUUUUAUUAAAAAUGGACGAUAUUUAAAGUGACGAGCAUUGUAGAGUGUAAGGUCGAAAACUUAGAGUGUCGACUAUUCACAAAGAAUAUGAAAUCUGUCGGUCACACCUGCUAUAGACACUGAUAAACAAGACUUGACACUCUUUGACGUCACGAGCAUAUGAUCGGCACUAUGACUAGCGAUCACAUGCCUUCCCAUUUAUAUAUAUAUUAUAUAUACACUUCUCCUUUCUUUCGGUUUGGUUAGUUUCUUUUACUCCUGUGAGUUUUCUCCUUUCUUCUAUACGACUAUCGAUCAAAUUAGAAAAAAAAUAGAGAGAAAGAAAAAUAAUACAGAGCAAAAAAUAAAGAAAAAGAGAAAGGGUUGGGUGAGGUAAAAAGAGUUGUUAUUUUGAGAUAGCGUGAAGAACUUACGUGGGGUAAGAAGUACUUGUUUUUUUUUUUUCAGUUUAUUAAAUUAUAAUAUAUAUUAUAAUUUUAUGAUAUUCUUUUUUAUUUUAAUUUAAAUUGUAGAUUAUUAAUACAAAAAACAGAUAAAAAAGAAAGAGCUGCACGAGGUACGUAGAAAUUUUUUACGUGAAACUAUUUGUGUAUUUAUUUUAUUUUAUGAUGUUUAUAUUUUUAUUAAUUUUUACUUUAUUUCUAUAUUUCAUUAUAGAUUUUGAUGUGUUGUAUUUGUUAUGUGAUGUUUAUAUUAUUUUGAAUUUUUUUAGUUAAAUAAAUAAAGAAUUUAAACUAGAAUAAACUAUAUAUUAAUUAUUUUUUGCUUAAUACCAUGUAAACUUAUCUUGAUGCAUACGCUGAAAAUUUUUUAUGAUAAAUUUAUAUGUCUAUUUUAUGUAUAUUGUAUUUGUAUAUAUGUAUAUUAUUUUUUGAUGUUUAUAUGUUUCUGUUUUUUUGUUAUUUAAUUUUAAUUCAUAUAUUAUUGUAAUUUUGAUAUGUAUUUUUAUUUAUAUGUGAUGUUUAUAUUAUGUUAAAUUUUUUGACUUAAAUAAAUUAAAAUUUUAAAUCAAAAUAAAAAUGAUAUAUUUAGAAACAUAAAAAAAUAUAUUUCAUUUUAAAUGCAUUUUUUUUAUUUUAGUUUAAUAUUAAUUUUUAUGUUGUAUCAGUUUUUUAAAAAAUCAUUUUAACUACCAAUAGUAUCAAAUGAUAUUUAAAAAAUUUCAUUGAAAUGUUUUUUUUUUUAAAUCAAAUGCCAUAACCUUUUAAUUACUAAACCAAAUCUUACUAAUAUCACGUGCUAGGAAAUAGUUUUAAAGAAUGUAAUAAUAGAGUUGACGUAUUUUUUACUUUUAAAAUAUGUAUAAUAAUUAAACAUGAUAAGUUUGUCAUGUAUCGUUGCUUAUUGGGCUGGAAAUAUAAUUUAGAAUUAAUCAUAUUUUCUAAAAAAUGAUAAGAAGCAGAGAUAGAUUGUUUAUAUAAAAAUUUAUAGAUGAGAAUAGAUAAUACUCCUAUGGCACCGACCGAGACGUAAUAGAAGACAACCGACUAGUGGUACAGAAGAACAGGUCAAUGGUGUAACCUCUCCUCCACAGGAAAUUGCAGUUAAAAUGGAAGACAUCACCAAUCUUAGCGAGAACUUUGCUAGCGGUUUGUUUAGUUUUGUACCCACGUAAUGUUAACUGGGUGGCUCACGAUGUAGCCAAAAGAAAGCCCCAACUCAUUCUCUUGUCAGCCCGUCUAG
rnacentral:lncRNA from 1 species